rnacentral:rRNA from 1 species
UACGUAGGGUGCAAGCGUUAAUCGGAAUUACUGGGCGUAAAGCGUGCGCAGGCGGUUAUAUAAGACAGUUGUGAAAUCCCCGGGCUCAACCUGGGAACUGCAUCUGUGACUGUAUAGCUAGAGUACGGUAGAGGGGGAUGGAAUUCCGCGGUGUGAGCGAAUGACGUAGAUAUGCGGAGGAACACCGAUGGCGAAGGCAAUCCCCUGGACCUGUACUGACGCUCAUGCA